rnacentral:rRNA from 1 species
GGGGAAUCUUGCGCAAUGGGGGAAACCUUGACGCAGCAACGCCGCGUGGGUGAUGAAGGCCUUCGGGUCGUAAAGCCCUGUCAGGUGGGAAGAAACAUAUCGGUGCUAAUAUCACCGAUGUUUGACGGUACCGCCGGAGGAAGCACCGGCUAACUCCGUGCCAGCAGCCGCGGUAAUACGGAGGGUGCAAGCGUUGUUCGGAAUUACUGGGCGUAAAGCGCGUGUAGGCGGUCGGGCAAGUCAGAUGUGAAAGCCUUCCGCUUAACGGAAGAAGUGCAUUUGAAACUACCCGGCUGGAGUACGGGAGAGGAGAGUGGAAUUCCCGGUGUAGAGGUGAAAUUCGUAGAUAUCGGGAGGAACACCAGUGGCGAAGGCGGCUCUCUGGUCCGAUACUGACGCUGAGACGCGAAAGCGUGGGGAGCAAACAG